UACAGAGGGUGCAAGCGUUAAUCGGAAUUACUGGGCGUAAAGCGUGCGUAGACGGUUGCGUAAGUCAGAUGUGAAAGCCCCGGGCUCAACCUGGGAAUCGCAUUUGAGACUGCGUAGCUAGGGUGCGGAAGAGGGAAGCGGAAUUUCCGGUGUAGCGGUGAAAUGCGUAGAUAUCGGAAGGAACACCAGUGGCGAAAGCGGCUUCCUGGUCCAGCACCGACGUUCAGGCACGAAAGCGUGGGGAGCAAACAGG
rnacentral:rRNA from 1 species